GUUUACACUACUUUCAACAAUUAUGUCAGCUCACUUGACCUUGUCAGCAGACAAACUUAGUGAGUUUGAACUCUUACCUUAACCUUCAUAGAAGCAAUUAUUUCUGAACUCUAUGGAACAAAAAGAGGUUUUUCUUGUUUACUUUUUUUAUAAGUAGUAUUUAGCGGCUUAUGCAUUAUUCUACUUUGGAUUCUGGUCAGUUGGUUAUUGUGUGUUCUAUGAAUCAUUUCAUUGAUUUAAUUGCCUAACUCUGUUGGAACCUUCACUGUGGUUCCUUCAGAGUUUAAGAGGGGAAGUGCAUUUUUCUAUGGGUUCAAGAUUCUGCCAAGAACCAAAAGAUUGCAUCUUCUGAGGGAACUUCAGCACUGUGAACCCAUGGAAGAGCAUAGGAACUUGGAUGAUAUUCUGAAGAACGUCAUUAAUUUUAUGAAAUUUGACACUAUGCAAAGUUAAUCGGAACACUGCCAUUCUCAAAAUGGUUCUAGCAUGAAAACAAGUUAACUAAGCUCUCAAAUAGAUUCUUUUUAUAUUGUGUCUACAUAAUUUUCGAUUUUUUUUGUCUUUGCAAUAUCUUCGAGGUGUGGUACAGCAAUCAAAAGGUUUGGCCAAGAUUUUCCUGACGAAUGGAAAACCAGGAAAAAGAUUUCUGAUAAGUUCUUCAGAAUUUCUCCAUCAAAUAAGGUGACUAACAAUUUUGAAAUUGCAGCCAUCAAAUGCUGGACAUCCUCUGUUCAGCCUAUGUACAUUUUGUUCACAUCUAUAGCCUUAAGGUCGCUUUGCAGGCAAUAUUUGAUUAAGAGUGGAGCUCAUUUCCUACUACGUAUUUUCCGUGAGGCUGUAACAGUAGGAGCAGAGGACAUAACACACCAUACAACGAUAGUUUCUUUUUCUUUGACAUUCUUUUUUUUGCAUUAGCUAUCCUAAAGAUCCUCCGGUAUCUAACUUAAAUUUUUUAUGCAGACUACUCGGGUUUGAUUGAAAUUAAAUUAUAUGCUUGCUAUACUAGUUGGGAUUUUUCUAGCGGCCCUCGUAUCAAUCCUAUCUUUUACACUUUAAAAAAGUGUAUUUGAGCCUUUUCAACACACAUGGAGUAGUAGCUAAAAGGAGAAUUGAAUCCCUGGUGUAUCGACCAUGUUGUAAGUUUUGGUAGAUAUAGGGGAUAUCUUAAUGAGCCUGGAUGUGCAUGUAUGAGUGGUUCAGCCCCAAUGAGUAGUAAUAAUCAUCCUAUCCCACAGUAUGAUAUUGUUCAGCAUUAGAAGGCCACCCAAGGUAACGUGAAAUUAUCUUAUGUUUUUAAUAUUGGGGUAGACACUAGAUGAUAUUGUGAUUAUGCAGUUCACUCCUUCAUCCAGUGAUGACUUUAUCGUGAUGAUUUUUUCUGAUUUUGCAUCCAGUAUUUUGAUAUGUAAAAUGUCUGAAUUAUGAUUAAAACAUGUUUUGUACACUUGACAAGAGUACUUUCAUCUACACAGUCAUAAAGAACAACUAAAAUCCUUUCUAAUUCAAGUUAUCUGGUGUUCAAGAUACAAACAUGACCUUAUAGUAGUUGUAUUAUUUCUAUGCAAAAAGUCUGGAGUAGCUUUUCAUGAAAAAAAACAUUUAAAUGUUUAGGUUUUGG
rnacentral:lncRNA from 1 species